AUCACAUUGGUAUUUUAACAGUGUUAUUGUAAGAGUUUAAAUGUUUAAACAGAGGAUACAUCUAAAACAGGAUAAAACAAGUGCAGUAUGUUCUGAGAAUGUUACUGUUUGUCCAGUGUGUGUGUGUGUGUGUUUGUCCAGUGUGUGUGUGUGUGUGUUUGUCCAGUGUGUGUGUGUGUGUGUGUGUUUGUCCAGUGUGUGUGUGUGUGUGUGUUUGUCCAGUGUGUGUGUGUGUGUGUGUGUCCAGUGUGUGUGUGUGUGUGUGUGUGUGUCCAGUGUGUGUGUGUGUGUCCAGUGUGUGUGUGUGUGUGUCCAGUGUGUGUGUGUGUGUCCAGUGUGUGUGUGUGUGUGUCCAGUGUGUGUGUGUGUGUGUCCAGUGUGUGUGUGUUGUGUGUGUGUGUGUGUUUGUCUAGUGUGUGUGUCCAGUGUGUGUGUGUCUGUGUGUAUCCAGUGUUUGUGUGUGUGUGUCCAGUGUGUGUGUUUGUCCACUUUGUUUGUCCAGUGUGUGUGUGUGUGUGUGUCCAGUGUGUGUGUGUGUGUGUGUGUGUGUGUAUUUUUGUUUGACCAGUGUGUGUGUGUGUGUGUGUGUGUGUGUGUGUGUGUGUGUCCAGUGUGUGUGUGUGUGUGUGUGUGUGUGUGUGUGUCCAGUGUGUGUGUGUGUAUGUGUGUGAGUCUGUGUGUGUUUUCGUUUGUCCAGUGUGCGUGUGUCCAGAAUGUGUUUGUGUGUGUUUGUUCAGUGUGUGUGUUGAGUGUGUGUGUCCAUUUUGUGUCCAGUUUGUGUGUGUUCAGUGUGUGUUCAGUGUGUGUUCAGUGUGUGUGUGUGUGUGUGUGUGUGUGUGUCCAGUGUGUGUGUGUGUGUGUCCAGUGUGUGUGUGUGUGUGCCCAGUUUGUGUGUCCAGUGUGUGUGUUUGUGUGUGUUUGUGUGUGUGUGUUUGUGUGUGUCCAGUGUGUGUGUGUUUGUGUGUGUGUGUGUGUUUUUGUGUGUGUGUGUGUGUGUGUGUGUGUGUUUGUCCAGUGUGUGUGUGUGUGUGUUGUGUGUGUGUGUGUGUGUGUGUUUGUCCAGUGUGUGUGUGUGUGUGUGUUUGUCCAGUGUGUGUGUGUGUUUGUCCAGUGUGUGUGUGUGUGUGUGUGUGUUUGUCCAGUGUUUGUGUGUGUGUGUCCAGUGUGUGUGUGUGUGUGUCCAGUGUGUGUGUGUGUGUGUCCAAUGUGUGUGUGUGUUGUGUGUGUGUUUGUCCAGUGUGUGUGUGUGUUUGUCCAGUGUGUGUGUGUGUGUUGUGUGUGUGUGUGUGUUUGUCCAGUGUGUGUGUGUGUGUGUUUGUCCAGUGUGUGUGUGUGUGUGUGUUUGUCCAGUGUGUGUGUGUGUGUGUGUUUGUCCAGUGUGUGUGUGUGUGUGUGUGUGUGUCCAGUGUGUGUGUGUGUGUGUGUGUGUCCAGUGUGUGUGUGUGUGUGUGUCCAGUGUGUGUGUGUGUGUCCAGUGUGUGUGUGUGUGUCCAGUGUGUGUGUGUG
rnacentral:lncRNA from 1 species